rnacentral:rRNA from 1 species
AGGAAGAAUUUCUACAUUGAGACAAGUAAGUGUGUGUUAUGUGAUGAUGAACCUAAUGAACAUCUAAUGCACCUCUUUUUUAGCUGUGAUUUCAGCCAAUAUUUCUAGAUGAACAUUGGUUACCAAUGGGACACUAAUUAUAACCCUAUAGAAAUGCUCCUGGAGGGUAGGAAACAGCAUACUUAUGGUUGUUUUAAAGAGUGUCUGAUUGCUGGAUGCUGGAGUUUAUGGAAGCACAGAAAUAGCAUCAUCUUUGAUCACAAGGUCAAGAAUAUGGCAUACUGUAUGGCCACUUUAAAGGAACACUUCAGCAUGAUCAUAAAGAAGGCAAAACCUGGAUUGAAGGAGGGCAUGCAAAGUUGGCUAGAUUAUUUGUAG